rnacentral:rRNA from 1 species
GACAGAGGGUGCAAACGUUGUUCGGAAUUACUGGGCGUAAAGCGCGUGUAGGCGGUCUUGUAAGUCGGGUGUGAAAGCCCAGGGCUCAACCCUGGAAUUGCCUUCGAUACUGGAUAUCUUGAGUUCGGGAGAGGUGAGUGGAAUGCCGAGUGUAGAGGUGAAAUUCGUAGAUAUUCGGCGGAACACCAGUGGCGAAGGCGACUCACUGGCCCGAUACUGACGCUGAGGCGCGAAAGCGUGGGGAGCAAACAGG